rnacentral:misc_RNA from 1 species
CGCACAUUGCGCCCGCCAGUAUUCUGGCGGGCAUGCCUGUUCGAGCGUCAUUUCAACCCUCAAGCUCUGCUUGGUGUUGGGGACCGGCCAGCUCUCUCUCUCCCUCUCCGGAGGAGGGGGGCAGCGGCCGCCCCCGAAAUGAAUUGGCGGUCUCGUCGCAGCCUCCUCUGCGUAGUAACAUACCACCUCGCAUCGGGAGCGCGACGCGGCCACUGCCGUAAAACGCCCAAAACUUUUUUAGAGUUGACCUCGAAUCAGGUAGGAAUACCCGCUGAACUUAA